CAUUGACGGUUGGUAUGUGUAAAUAGACAUCUCUACUGAAUUACGUGUUAUCUUGAAGCAAACGACGAUCUUGAAGCAAACGACGACGUCGCAUUCUUGCUUUAGAUCUCGUAUUUCAUAUUCCAUUUUUGGGCUCAUUCUUUCUUAUAUAUUCCCGCCCUGUCCCUAUUUCCCUCCAGUUCGAUUCUAUAUGCGUGAAUAUAUGCACUUCAUAGGUGCUUAUUCAAGGUGCUUAUUCAGUCGAUCUAUGAGAAUUCUUUAGAUUCACAUUUUUUGGAUCGUUGAUUUAUUGGAUUUGAGGUUAUGGCGGUGGCCCCCGGACCUGUGACCCCUGGACAGUAUACAUACGGUGAAACCUUUUCUUUUCAUGCCCAGGUGUCAUUUCUGCUUGGAAUCAUUCCAGUCAUUGUUGCGUGGAUUUACUCUGAGUGGUUGGAAUAUAAGAAGUCACCAUCCCCGUCUAAAGUUCAUUCAGAUAAUAAUUUGGAUGAGAUGGAGAAUGAAGCAAUCAAAAAAGAUGAUAGGACAGUGUUGUUAGAAGGAGGUCUUGUAAAAUCAGCAUCUGCGAAGUUGUCCACUCCAUCCGUUAAAACCAACUUAAUUAGGUUUCUUACAAUGGAGGACUCAUUUUUACUCGAAAAUCGAGCACUAUUAAGAGCUAUGUCCGAAAUAGGGGUUAUUCUGUUCUAUUUCUACACAUGUGACCGUACAAAUUUUUUUGAAGAUUCCACCAAGAGCUACAAUCGUGAUCUUUUCCUUUUCCUAUACAUUCUUCUUAUCAUAGCUUCAGCAAUGACUUCUCUCAAGAAACACAAUGACAAGUCAGCCUUUUCUGGAAAAGCCAUAUUGUAUCUUAAUCGCCAUCAGACAGAAGAGUGGAAAGGAUGGAUGCAGGUUCUAUUUUUGAUGUAUCAUUACUUUGCUGCAACUGAGAUGUACAAUGCAAUUCGUAUUUUUAUUGCUGCAUAUGUCUGGAUGACUGGUUUUGGAAAUUUCUCCUAUUAUUACAUCAGGAAGGAUUUUAGUCUUGCUCGAUUUACUCAGAUGAUGUGGAGGCUUAACUUUUUUGUGGCCUUCUGUUGUAUUGUUCUUAACAAUGACUACAUGCUGUACUAUAUCUGCCCAAUGCACACGCUCUUCACACUCAUGGUGUACGGGGCCCUUGGUAUUGGCCACAACUAUAACGAGAUAAAAUCAGUGAUGGCUUUGAAAUUUUUUAUGUGCUUUAUUGUGGUUAUCUUGAUAUGGGAAAUCCCUGGAGUCUUUGAACUUGUCUGGAGUCCUUUCACAUUUUUCUUAGGGUAUACUGAUCCCGCAAAGCCAGAUAUUCCUCGACUGCAUGAAUGGCAUUUUAGAUCUGGGCUUGAUCGUUACAUAUGGAUCAUAGGAAUGAUCUAUGCCUAUUUCCACCCCACAGUUGAAAAGUGGAUGGAGAAACUGGAGGAGUCUGAAACCAAGCGUAGGCGCACAAUCAAAACAUCCAUUGUUGCGGUUGCCUUGAUUGUUGGCUAUUUGUGGUACGAAGGUAUAUACAAGAUGGACAAGGUUACAUACAACAAGUUUCAUCCCUACACAUCAUGGAUACCCAUUACCGUUUAUAUUUGUUUGAGGAAUUUUAGUCAGCAUAUCAGGAAUUUUUCUUUGACCCUUUUCGCGUGGCUUGGCAAAGUUACUUUGGAAACAUAUAUUUCCCAGUUCCACAUCUGGUUGAGAUCAAAUAUGCCUAAUGGACAACCCAAAUGGCUACUCUCUUUCAUCCCAGAGUAUCCUCUGCUCAAUUUCAUGCUCACGACUUCCAUUUACAUCUUGAUAUCAUAUCGGAUUUUUGAACUGACCAACACGUUGAAGUCAGCUUUCAUACCCACUAGAGACAAUCGAAAACUACUUAACAAUUUUGUUGCCGGAGCAGCCAUUUCUGCAUGUUUAUAUUGCAUUUCGUUCAUUCUUCUUCAGAUUCCUUAUUAAUCAGGAUGGAAUAUCAGAAGUGAUAGUCGUCGGUAAAAAUAUUUCUUGAUGGACAUAAGAGUGGAAUAUACGUGGACAAUAUAGGACAGGAUGGUCUUGCUUUCAGACAUAAGUUCGUGUGGCUAAUGUUUCAAACAAUUUUGUGGAAUACCCCUUACAAUUCCUGCAAUUCAGUCACAGAAUGUGUCCAGAUUUUGACAGAGAAAAAGAAUAGUCACAUAAGAGGGUAACAUUUGUGUCCAAGCUUUGCUUGAAUAUUCUUGAGGAGUGGCGGCCUUCUCCCCUGGUUCGCCACCCUGCUAAAACAUUUUUUGUUAUAUAUAAAGUGAGUCAUUAGUUAAUUUUCUGGAACCUGGGUCACUUGUUCUCACAGCAUUUCAUUUGUAGAAUUUACAAGGUUCAAUCAAGAUAUAUACAUAAGUGUUAAGGUUUAA